rnacentral:rRNA from 1 species
AGGCCGAAAGGCGUAGUCGAUGGGAAACAGGUUAAUAUUCCUGUACUUGGUGUUACUGCGAAGGGGGGACGGAGAAGGCUAUGUUAGCCGGGCGACGGUUGUCCCGGUUUAAGCAUGUAGGCUGGUUAUCCAGGCAAAUCCGGAUAAUCAAGGCUGAGGUGUGAUGACGAGGCACUACGGUGCUGAAGUAACAAAUGCCCUGCUUCCAGGAAAAGCCUCUAAGCAUCAGGUAACAUCAAAUCGUACCCGAA